rnacentral:rRNA from 1 species
AAAACGACUCUCGGCAACGGAUAUCUCGGCUCCCGCAUCGAUGAAGAACGUAGCGAAAUGCGAUACUUGGUGUGAAUUGCAGAAUCCCGUGAACCAUCGAGUCUUUGAACGCAAGUUGCGCCCUAAGCCUUCUGGCCGAGGGCACGUCUGCCUGGGUGUCACAAA